rnacentral:rRNA from 1 species
UACGGAGGGUGCAAACGUUGCUCGGAAUCAUUGGGCGUAAAGCGCACGUAGGUGGCUUGUUAAGUCGGGUGUGAAAUCCCUGGGCUCAACCCAGGAAGUGCACUCGAAACUGGCGAGCUUGAGUACUGAAGAGGGUCGCGGAAUUCCCGGUGUAGAGGUGAAAUUCGUAGAUAUUAGCAGGUACACCGGUGGCGAAGGCGGCUAUCUGGACGACAACUGACGCUGAGGCGCGAAAGCGUGGGGAUCAAACAGG